AGAGCUCAUUUUUGGAGACUUUUGCAUAAAGGUUGUAUCAAUGAAAAGGAAGAGCCAUAUUUAUUGUAUGUUUCUUUGUUCAAUAAUGCUCCUGUUUACUGUUGCUAAAAUGUAGAAGCAAAAACCUACAGCACAAUAAGCUUAGCUUAUACAGUUGAAGAAAAAAAAAUAUUGACAUCGGAUGAAAAUUUUUAAAAUUCCGACUAAAUUAAUUAAUUUUCUUUUCAGCUUAGUCACUUUAUUAAUCUGGGGUUGCCACAAUGGAAUGAACCACCAGCUUAUCCAGCAACAUCCACGCUUGAAUGACAAACGCGUACACCUUGUUUUAUCCUUGCACGCCUAACUUCGCUGGAGAAAGCGCUUGUGGGGUUUCUGUAGUGUAGUGGUCAUCACGUUCGCCUAACACGCGAAAGGUCCUCGGUUCGAAACCGAGCAGAAACAGUGCUCUUCUUUUGGCGAGAAAAUAAUAGCAUCCACUACCUCACCAGCAAUGAUCGUCAACAGGCACCCAAUCAAAAAGGGUUAUCUGCUAGUUGUACUUCUGAAGGUUUCCAUAGUGUAGUGGUUAUCACGUUCGCCUUACACGCGAAAGGUCCCCAGUUCGAAACUGGGUGGAAACAACCUCUGUCUUUUACGACAAUUGUCAAAUCAGGCUUCUGUUGAGUACUGACGUUCACUGAAAACAUUCUUUCUGCAGAGCGUUGUGAGGCUAGAAGUUUGAAUUCAACUCAGUGUUUACCUCCCCUCGCGGUGUCGCAAACUUGCGUAGAAUCUGAUUUCUUUUAGCUUUGUGUUAUGCAUGAGCAGGUGGCCAGUGC
ensembl:processed_transcript